AACAAGUUUACACUCAACUCAUACGAAUUACAAAAAAGCGGAUACAUUACUUAGUAAAUGUUUUACAGCUACAUAAUAUAUAUGUUAUUUCCAGACUUAUAUAGUUAAUUACAUUAUUCAUUACCCUGUGAACUACUAUCGCUCAGUGAGACGGAUAGGGAAAGAGGCAAAAAACUGUAAAAGUACUUCAAAGGAUAAGGUAAAAGUAAGAGGAAUAUAUUUACUUUGGAAAACAGAGAGGACCCAAAGAACAUAAUAAACUACCAUAAGUUGGAGCGGAAGCUAUGCAUAUAUUUUAUAGAGAACAAAUAUGAGUUAUCAGGAAUUUCGGAAAAGAGCCAGGAUCCAUUAUAUUUUUACAUUCCUUUAAUAGAAAUAAAGGGCCAAGGGAGCCAGAUGGAUUGCAAAAUCUAUAUUCAUUAAGGAAUUUGAUUUAGCUGCGUUCUUCUCGAAAUCAGAAACUGAUUAGUACAAUAUUAAGUCUUUUAUCCCACGAUAUACUUUUCUAAUAAAAUAAAUAUUCUUAUAAAACUUUUCU